rnacentral:rRNA from 1 species
AGUCUGGUGCCAGCAGCCGCGGUAAUUCCAGCUCCAAUAGCGUAUAUUAAAGUUGCUGCAGUUAAAAAGCUCGUAGUUGAAUUUCUGGUACGAUGUGCCUGGUCCACGGUCGCAAGGCCGCGCGUAUCGGAGUACGUCUGCCAUCCUUCUAGUUAACUGGCUAUACUUAACUGUGUGGUCAGCAACCUAGAUCUUUUACUUUGAAAAAAAUUAGAGUGUUUAAAGCAGGCUCGCGCUGUGAAUACAUUAGCAUGGAAUAAUAAUUUAGGACUUUGCUUCUAUUUUAUUGGUUUCUAGGGGUAAAGUAAUGAUUGAUAGGGAUAGUUGGGGGUGCUAGUAUUCAUCGGCCAGAGGUGAAAUUCUUGGAUUCGAUGAAGACUAACUUAUGCGAAAGCAUUCACCAAGGAUGUCUUCUUUAAUCAAGAACGAAAGUUGGGGGAUCGAAGACGAUCAGAUACCGUCGUAGUCUCAACCAUAAACUACACCGACUAGGGAUUAGUGGAAGUUGCUAUAUCGACUCCAUUAGCACCUUAUGAGAAAUCAGAAGUCUUUGGGUUCUGGGGGGAGUAUGGUCGCAAGGCUGAAACUUAAAGGAAUUGACGGAAGGGCACCACCAGGAGUGGAGCCUGCGGCUUAAUUUGACACAACACGGGGAAACUUACCAGGUCCGGACAUAGUGAGGAUUGACAGAUUGAAGUUCUUUCUUGAUUCUAUGGUUGGUGGUGCAUGGCCGUUCUUAGUUGGUGUAGUGAUUUGUCUGGUUAAUUCCGUUAACGAACGAGACCUCGACCUGCUAAAUAGUAUGACGUAGGCUCUGUCUAUGGACAUGACUUCUUAGAGGGACUGUCGGUUUUUAGCCGAAGGAAGUUCGAGGCAAUAACAGGUCUGUGAUGCCCUUAGAUGUUCUGGGCCGCACGCGCGCUACACUGAUACGUGCAUCGAGCUUACAACCUUGGCUGGGAGGCCUGGGUAAUCUUUGAAAAGCGUAUCGUGCUGGGGAUAGAUUAUUGUAAUUAUUAAUCUUCAACGAGGAAUUCCUAGUAAGCGCGAGUCAUCAACUCGCACUGAUUACGUCCCUGCCCUUUGUACACACCGCCCGUCGCUGCUACCGAUUGAAUGCAUUAGUGAGCUUGAGGGAUCGUUUAGCUUGAGGGUCAAACUUCGAGUUAAGUGAGAACUCACGCAAACUUGCGCAUUUAGAGGAAGCAAAAGUCGUAACAAGGUUUCCGUAGGUGAACCUGCGGAAG